GCGUACCAUCAACUUGAGCCCAACCUUAACUCGGCUCCCCGGGAUAAAAUUUCAUUGAUUUUGGGCUCGAGUUGAAACUUCCUAACUCAAGCUCUAGAUCUGGCCGGUCUAAAAGCGGACCCUCAUCAAACCCGGCCUGGCCCAUUCACAUCCUGAUUGCAAACUGAACUCUGGUGUAGAUAGUAGAGUAAGCAGAGGAAGACGACUUUCGAACUUUCGAGAAGAAAGAAAGGAACUUCGGGCGUUCCAGCAACAAUGAGCGAAGAUGGUCCGAAGCUUUACGCCAACAAACCCAAGAAAGUAACACAAAGGGAAGGAUUUUUCUUCGCCGUUGUCGCCGACAAUGGCGGCGGCUCAGGCUUCGUCACCGCCGCCACCUCAGCCCCCGAAGGAGUCGUUUGCUCGGCGUUACAAGUUUCUCUGGCCUCUGCUCUUGACUGUCAAUCUGGGCGUUGGAGCUUACCUGUUUAUGAGAACAAAAAGGAAAGACAUAGAGGAAAACGUGAUUGCUACAGUUUCAACAACAGCUCAAACAACUACUACUGAGAAACCCCUACUACCUUCACCAACCAUCACAGAGCCCAUAAAACUGCUGGAACCAAUCCCGGAGGAUCACCAACACCAACUUUUCAAGUGGAUGCUGGAAGAGAAAAGAAAGGUUAAACCAAAAGAUCCUGAAGAGAUGAAGCACCUUGAUGAGGAGAAAGCAAUUCUUAAACAGUUUCUCCGGGCGAAAUGUCUUCCAACAAUCUAACAGAAAUAGCCAUUUCUCCUGAUUUGACUGGUUUGCUGUAUUUCCUUGAUUCGUCUCUAGAGUGGAUCGUGUCGUGCUGCACAAAUUUAACUGUCAUUGUCCAUUGAAGAAGUGAAUAUGUGGUGCUUUUGGACCUGGGAUUGUGCUCGUCAUUCUUUACAAAUCAGUCAUCAGUGUGAGGUCUGGUUGGGACAAAAGUUUGCAAACGUGGGCAUACUUGAGAAAGCUUUCGCAUAAUCUGAAACAAGAAAGGACAAUGAAGAAACCUUUCCGCCACCGAUUUUCGCUGUGAAGAUGGUGAUUUUUAUUUGAGCAAAUUGAUGUUUAUCCUUCUGAACUAUCACGUAAUUGUUAAUUUACCUCAUUAAUUUUUUUUUUUAUUCAGCCAUUGCAUCCUUUGAGUAAAUUGACAAUCACCUGAUAGUUUGGAGUUAAACGGCAGAAACCUUUCCACGACUUCACUAUUGCAAAAUACACACAAGCUAGACUAUUGCAAUGAUUCCAAAACCCCAUGGUUUGGAGACGAUCAACAAAUAUAUCCAAAAUAUUCUCUUGGAUUCUGAAGAUACGGUGGAAAGUUAACCAAAUGGGAGCCGAUUAAGAGCCCAAUUAUUUGAUGAAAUGAUG